GACGAACGCUGGCGGCGUGCUUAACACAUGCAAGUCGAACGGAAAGGCCCUGCUUGCAGGGUAUUCGAGUGGCGAACGGGUGAGUAACACGUGGGUGAUCUGCCCUGCACUUCGGGAUAAGCCUGGGAAACUGGGUCUAAUACCGGAUAGGAGCCAUCCUUAGUGUGAUGGUUGGAAAGUUUUUUCGGUGUAGGAUGAGCUUGCGGCCUAUCAGCUUGUUGGUGGGGUAAUGGCCUACCAAGGCGGCGACGGGUAGCCGGCCUGGGGGGGUGGACGGCCACAUUGGGACUGAGAUACGGCCCAGACUCCUACGGGAGGCAGCCGUGGGGAAUAUUGCACAAUGGGCGCAAGCCUGAUGCAGCGACGCCGCGUGGGGGAUGACGGCCUUCGGGUUGUAAAAUCCUUUCGCUAGGGACGAAGCUUUUUGUGACGGUACCUAGAUAAGAAGCACCGGCUAACUACGUG
rnacentral:rRNA from 1 species